rnacentral:piRNA from 1 species
UGCUAAUGAUGACCAGUGAGAAAAGUAAU